CCGGCCGAACGGCAUCGACGGGACGCUCAAGAACGUGACCCCGGCGCUGCACCCGGAGAUGAUCCUGGCGGCGACCAACAACGGCGACAUCGUGGACGCCUAAGCAAAGCAAUGAGCCACGGACACCAAGGCGUACGUACGCUGGUGUUUGGGGGCGCAAGAUCAAUAAGAUGGUUCGGUGAAACGGAGGAUGCUUAGGGACGAGGGCUUGUCUUUGUGAUUUGUC
rnacentral:lncRNA from 1 species